AGUCACAGCCAUAUCACCUGCAGCCCAAGACCAGUUACUCACUGAAGCUUAGCAGGGCUGGGUCUAAUCAGUACCUGGAUGGGAGACCACAUGGGAAAACUGGGUUGCUGUUGGAA
rnacentral:rRNA from 1 species